GAUGGGCUCAUUAAAUGCAUCAGUUUCCAACGGAUCACUGAAGUUAGGCAACGUUGCGAGUGGUUGGUAUUUGGAUGGGAGACCAUCGGGGUAAUCGUGGCUAUUC
rnacentral:rRNA from 1 species